rnacentral:sRNA from 1 species
GCCACGGCUAGAUGUGGGGUAGCUCCCCACACCGAAAAGCAGUUUGCCUUUCCUGCCUGCCGCUGGUUUCUUCUGAAAGG